GUCUACGACCAUACUCCCCUGGCUGUGCCUGAUCACGUCUAAAGCUAAGCAGGGUCAGGCUGGUGUGUGUGUGGAUGGGAUCAAAAAGGAGGAUUUGCUUCUUCUAGGCA
rnacentral:rRNA from 1 species